GUUGAAGAACGCAGCGAAAUGCGAUAAGUAAUGCGAAUUGCAGAAUUCCAGUGAAUCAUCGAAUCUUUGAACGCACAUUGCGCCCGCCAGUAUUCUGGCGGGCAUGCCUGUCUGAGCGUCAUUUCAACCCUCAAGCAACUUCUGCUUGGUGUUGGGGAUCGGCCGUCAAACGCCGCCCCCGAAAUCUAUUGGCGAUCUCGCUGUAGCUUCCUAUGCGUAGUAGUAACAUCUCGCAUCUGGAGAGCGGCGCGGUCAUGCCGUAAAACACCCAACUUCUCAGGUUGACCUCAGAUCAGGUAGGAAUACCCGCUGAACUUAAGCAUAUCAAUAAGCGGAGGA
rnacentral:misc_RNA from 1 species